UACAGAGGUGGCAAGCGUUGUUCGGAAUUACUGGGCGUAAAGGGCGCGUAGGCGGCCUUCUAAGUCAGACGUGAAAUCCCCCGGCUUAACCUGGGAACUGCGUCUGAUACUGGGAGGCUUGAGUAUGGGAGAGGGAUGUGGAAUUCCAGGUGUAGCGGUGAAAUGCGUAGAUAUCUGGAGGAAUACCGGUGGCGAAGGCGGCAUCCUGGGCCAUUACUGACGCUGAGGCGCGAAAGCUAGGGGAGCAAACGGG
rnacentral:rRNA from 1 species